rnacentral:sRNA from 1 species
GUCUCCAGAUAUGAUUUCCACGUUGUUGGCGCAGGAAUGAUUUAAGCUUGACUGUAUGCGAAAUAUACCAGUAAAAACUGCUUCUGGUAUUGUGUUUGGGAGAAUCCUCUGCAAAUGUUGCAUUUCUGGUAUUUUAUCCACUUGUUUCCGGAACAGAAAGUAUGGAUGGUUAGGAUCAGAGAACACCUGUAUGUUUCUGCUGACCUGGCUGUAACGGAGGUUGAAUUCCCCGGGGAUUUGGACCAGAGCUGAACCGAGGAAAGUUGGGGCUGGACUAGAGGUUCAUCAGACAAAGGCACUAGUUUACCCCAUAGUAUGAUAUAAAACUAUUCUAUGGAGUGAAUAAGUGUCAGUAUAUCGGGCCAAUUGAUCAUAUUCAGAUAAACAUUGUAAUUAUUAUAUUUGUGGUAAGAAAUAGGACUUGGUUUCUUUAUACACACAAAACUUUCAUUACAAGUCAACUGACAAAUUCUCGUUUCGGACAAUACCUUGAACCCAUCCGUGAUCACGAACAUCAGUAAAUCUCCCGAAACAAAAGCUACUGUGGAUUUUAGGAACAACAAAAAUACGCAAUACGUAAAAGAAAUCCACAGUGACCUAUUUAAUUGACAUUCAACUAUCAGUUUACCGUGAACGCAUUCACGCUUCGGACGUGUAUUUCAACGUCAUCGUUGUUAAUACGUCAAACUACACUAACAGGCGACAUUGAAGAAACCAUAUGAUUAUAAAUAAAUGAUCGGAAUUUUUGAAAAAGGAGUAGUCAACUGGAAUUGGGUCUUUUGUCUCUAUAGCCUGCUUCUAGGAUGAGAUAACCCUAUACGCCGCCGGACUGUGACGCGGAUGUGCUGCCAAUCAAAGUGCAACAUUCUUUGUAGUCAACAAGAAUCAGCAAAUAUCCAAGAAUGAAAUGGAACAGUAACUAAAAAUUAUGUGCAUAUCGUUGGCUGUGAUUAUUUCAUUAAAAAAAAAUAAAAAAUUGU